ACCAUUUUUUGCUGCCCCUUCCCCAAAUGGACUGCAACCAGUAUUUGUCCACCAUGGUUGCACCACUAUGCACAGGGACAGAGAAUCUGGGGGAGUGAUUGUGAGAGGAUAAUUUUGGGAUACAUCCCACAUUUGUCUGAUUCAUUCUACUUCAAAACUUACUUUUACCAUUCUGCUGCUACAGGACUAAAGAUAUUAUCAUUAUUAAUUUUUUUUUUAAAAGAAGAAACCUAAGAUUCUCCUUACAUUUCAAGGUCCUCCAGAUCUAGGGCCCUAUUUUCAUCAACUUUAGGGGACCCACAGUCUGGCUUUUUCUGGAAUAAUACAGGGCAAGCAGGGAACUGUUCAGCCUGGAGCUACCAUGGUCAGAAGGGAGAGACACACAGGUCUCCUCAAGGUGCUCCAAGAAAGGCAACGGCUAGAGAGCACAGAGUGAGAGCCCUUGCUGAUCCGCUAAAAGGAAACACAGGUGCAGUUGCCCUAAACUGUAACAGAAGGGAACAUAAACUUCAAGUGCUGUGCUGUAGCUAAGAGGGCUAAUGAAAUUCUUGGAUGUAAAAGUAGAAGAAGGAGGAGCAGAAAGAUGGUAUUACCCCUGUAUAUGGCAUUAGUGAGAUCCUGAUGGAUACAGUAUCCAGUGCUGCUGGCCAUAAUUUAAAAUGGGUGUUGAAAAAAAUGGAAAAUUCAGGAGAGAGCUGCAAAAUGAUUUUAGGUCGGAAAAAACUGCUUUAUAGCAACAGAUUUAAGAAGCUCAAUCUGUUCAGUCAAUCCAAGAGGAGGUUAUGAAUUAAAAGGUGAUUUGAUCACAAUCUACAAAUACUUACAUGGGGAAGAGAUUUCUGGUAGGUUUUAAUCUAUCAGAAAAAGGCAGAAUGAGAUCCAAUGGUUGGAAGCUGAAGCUGGACAAAUUCCAACGAGUAAUAAGUCUUGCCAUGUAAAUGGCAGAAUGGAUCAAGCUCCUGCAAAAGAAAUGGAAAGAAAAUGUUUUACAUCAUGAAUUUAAAAAGCCACAACAUGGCUACUUCGUGAUGACAUGACCGCCACCAUCCUCUGUAAUGGGUUGGAGACAGACUCGUUCAUCAUCUGUACUGGUUAAGCAGGGCUGCGUUAUUGCCCCAACUCCUUUUUCCAUAUAGCUUGCCAUAAUCUUGAUUCUUAUUCAUGACUGCCUUUCUUCUGGAAUUGGGAUUGAGUAGCGAAUGGACAGCCAGUUCUUCAAUCUGUGGCAUCUUCAUUCUAAAACUAAAGUCACCAGGACUGUUGUUAUCGAUCUUCAUUAUGCGGAUGACUGUGCUAUCCUCAGCACACUGAGGCUAACUUGCAAUCCACUCUAGAUCUCUUCUCCGGUGCCUACUAUACCCUAAGACUUUCCCUCAGCAUUGGGACAACUAAGGUGCUCUACCAGCCAGCCCCAGCACAAGUUGCCACCCACAAAUUGUCAUUCUUCCCCCACAAUUUGUCAUUGGUGGUGAGCCCCUGGAAAACAUUGAGCAUUUCCCUUACCUUGGUAGCCACCUCUCCCAAAAAGCCAAUCUUAACGGGGAGAUUCAACAUAGGAUACAUUGAGUCAGUGUAACCUUCAGAAAGUUGCUCCGUCAUGUCUUUAUUUACAGAGAUCUGCGGAUGGAAACUAAGAUCCUGGAAACUAAGAGGCUGCAGUAGUCAUCCUCACUCUUCUUUAUGGGUGCGAGACACGGAUGACAUAUUGAAACCAUCUAAAGCAUCUGGAGCGAUACCACCAGCCUUCGGAAGAUUCUCCAUAUCAGAUGAGAAGAUUGUCGCAUGAAUGCCAGUGUUCGCUCUGCAGCUAACAUCACCAGUGUCGAGGUGAAGAUUAUGAAACCUCAACUUAGUUGGGCUGGUCAUUGUGUGCAAAUGUCUGAUACUUGUCUUCCGAAGCAAGUCCUCUUUUCUCAACUUAAUCAUGGUAAGAGGACCUCAUGGGGGACAGAGGAAAUGCUACAAGGACACCCAACAUUGGGAAGAGCUCAGCUUGCUGGUAAUAGACUGCAAUGUCAUCACAUCUUACAUCAAGCCUCAGUCCGUUUUGAAGAGAAUCACCUUGCGCAAGAGGCUGAGAAAUGGCAGAGGAGGAAGGAAUGCAUACAGCAUCCCGGCCAGCAGUUGUACUCUCUCCAAGCAACCACCUGUCACAUAUGUGGAAACACCUAUACAGCAUGAAUUGGACACCUCAGCCAUCCUAAAUCUCACCGGUGAUUUUCUCCAUGGCAGAAAUCAUCCUCAUAUAGAGGGAUAGCUGCUGACAUCUCAUGGUCCUGCUCUUCUACUUGUUAUUACACUGAUCACAUGCCCUUCCAAAACAUCUCUGUGGCAGCUACAACAAUUGCUUACAUGGAAAAGUAAUAAUAGGAAAAUAUUUAAUGCAUUUUAGCUGUCGUUUAAUGUGAUUUAGCAGCAGAAAUAAGACAGGCAACACCAUGUAUCCAGCAAGCCCUCCAUGAACCAACAUAUCCUGCAGAUCACAGUUUGAGAACCCAUUCCUGAUUUAGAAAUAUUCAGGGAGCAAAUUUCAGGGGCAGUGAAAACAUCCUAAGCUUCCCUUGUGUCAGGUGGCGGAACUUUUGAAAGGGGUACUUUGAAGCCCCCGCCCAAAGAUCCUAGCAGCAUGUUACUGCUUUAAAUAUGAAACAAAACCAACCCCAACUCCUUUGCAAAGACUCAAAGAAUUGGAUCUUUGGUGUCUUGUGGCUGACCUGGAACUAAAAGUGUUAGUUGUCAUAUGCCUGCUGUGAAAUCCGUGAACUACGUUUGCCAAGUCCUAACUAGCAUGUUAUGAUCAACUUAAUUAGGCAAAGAAUGUAUCCUUACAUAGCUUGCCAAACUUUUUGAGCAAUGCCUUCUGGGAAUGUAUUGUGAUCAACUAUUUUCUUAAUACCCUGUUUCAAGUGCUUCUAAUGAUGUACAGUAUAUAAAAGUGAAAAAAAAAGCAAGCUUUGUUCUGUCAUGCAGUACUUAGAAACUAGUACUUUAAACUAAUUUGUCAAAAUAACAUUAAUCUAUGGGCCUGAUUCAUUCUGUUCUCACAGUUGCUUUACACUAAUGUAACUCCAUUGAAGUAAACGGAGUUACUGCUGAUUUACACUGGUGUAAGUGAGAGCAGAAUCAGUCCCUAUUAAUCUCUGAAAUUUAUAGCACUGGGUCAAGGUGAAAUCAGUGCAUUGAAGUGUAACCUCCAUAAGAUUAAACACUUGUUUGUGAGCCCUAUUAUGCAGACCUAGGGAGCUCAUGUAAACACAAUCCCACUGGCAACAAUCACUGCAGAACCAAAAAAUGAUCUGAACUGGAACACUGUUAUAGGCUCUAGCAAUCACAGAAAUUAAAGCCCAUUUUUCCCAAAAAUAGCCAGUGCAGGUUAGGAAAGGACCUUUUGAAUGGACCAAAAGCCAGAGAAUUUUCUCCACAGGUAAAGGAAGUAAGUGCUGAGCUGAAACUUGAGAGAGUCAGUUCUCUGCUAUCACUAGUUUUUGCUAUUGACACAAAAGCAUCUGAGACUCUGUGUAGUCUGUAAGGACUUUGGAAGAGAGCCAGCUCAGAGACCCAGAAGCACUUCCCCAUUCUACACUCCUCAGAAGCUCCUGCUUCUCUCCUCUUAUCAAGGUGAAUGGAAUCUCAAGUGGAUCUAGAUAACCACCUGCUAUAGUUUAGAGUAGGUUCCACAGCCUUCCCCUUUCACAGGAAAACUCAUACCCCAUUUGUUUCUGAGAGAUCUCCAAGCUACUGUUGCUUUGUGCAGUCUUCUCUUCUGUUCCCUGUCUCCUGCUCACCAGUGUAACAGGCCCCACAAUCUGCUAACACAGUCUGUAGUUUUUGCAUAAGUGAGACCCAUUCAGUGGGGGUGUUUGUGGGGGAGAAACUGUAUUCUGAGCAAUUAGAUCAUUUAUUUUAUCUGCAAGAGAGUUGUUUCAGGUGUGAACAGGUGCCCUUCCCAACCUGCUCUACAAGACAGUCCAAGCUCACCCAUUUCCUGGGGGUUGGCUUUAUUAACAAAUAAACUAGUUUUUUAUUUUUUCAAAUUAAAUUUUUUAAUAAAAAAUGGCUUUUUAGAUGAACAUUUUCAUGAAAAUUUGUCAACGUUAUGGAAGUUUUUGCUUUGUCAUUUUUAUCAAAAUACCCACUGAAAUUUUUCAUUGACUGAAAACUGGGUUUUUAGUAAACAAAAUAUUGAUAAUUUUUCAAUAAAAAGUCAUUGAAAAAAAUCACUAAAUAAAUAAUGGGUGCACUUGGAGUCCUGUGAAACCACAAACCACCUCUGAAUGUUUUCCAUUUGUUGACCACUUCUACCAUGGAUGUCAUUGAUAUGUUACUGCCACCUGUUGGAAGGGUUGGGGAAUACAGGGAUAGAAUGCAAAAGAAGAGAAUGCCUGGCUUGGGGUCUACGUAGUGAGCCCAGAAUUUCUCAUGGAUCUCUGGCAUCCCAGUUAUCUGGUCAAGCUUCCUGCCCUCACUCUGUCACAUCAGAACUGUUUGAUGCUGGCAGACCAGGUGCCGCCUCAUGCCUAGGCCUCUCUGAACACUGACAAAUGCAUAGCUGGAAACCUAUCUGACUCACCUGUGUGUUAAUAUUGUUAAAAUAGGUACUAUAUUUAGAGAAAUGUGUUUAGUGUUUGGACUUUAUGAAGUGCUUGUGAGUUGCUGCAUGCAUUAAUCUCAAUUAUAAUAUCUGUAUCCCAUGUUAUAAAGCAAUAUUUAAGUGUUUGCUAUGAAACUAGAAACCCCCAUAGUCAGGAGAGAAGCAUUUCCAAGUGUAAAAUACUAGUUUACAACAAGAGGUAUCAGAUCCUGGCAAACAAAGGAAGACCUGUAGACACUAGAUGAACCUUUGUGGAACAUCAGUGGACAAAAGACUUUGGGAAUGUCUUCACUGCACUUAAAGACCCAUGGCUGGCCCACGCCAGCUAAUUCAGUCUUGUGGGACUUGGGAUACAGGGCGGUUUUAAUUGUUGUGUAACGUUCAGGCUCAGGUUGCAGCCGAAGCUCUGGGACCCUCCCAUCUUGCAGGGUCUUAGAGGCAGGGCUUCAGUCCAAAUGUCUACACCACAAUUAGAUAGUCCCUUAGCCUGAGCCCAAGUCAGCCAGCCAGCCAUGGGUUUUUAUGUCCAGUGUAGACAUUAGUUUUGUUGAUUGUUUACCCUAUACCCAUGGAGAGGGGACAUGCACAAACACUUGUCCCAUCACAUCUUGAACUCUGGGGGAAGGGAAUAAAAAUCCCUGCCAAGAAGAAAUUGCCAUCACUAGGCUGCAUGGAAUUUGAAGAGGGCAAUAUUUCUAAGCAUAAGGAAGAAUCCCCAAUCUGCUUAGCUCUAAAGAACUACAGUGUUAGGUUCCAAAACCUAACUCAUUUGUGUGUGUGUGUAUGUUAAUCUGCUUUAACCUUGAAAAUAAUGUGUUUCCUUUUCUUAGUUAAUAAAUCUUUAGUUAGUUGAUUACAA